rnacentral:rRNA from 1 species
AUUGAACGCUGGCGGCAGGCCUAACACAUGCAAGUCGAGCGGGACGGCGGACGGGUGAGUGAGGACUGGGAAGCGACCUGGUAGUGAGGGAGAGCGUACGGAAGGGGACGCUAAUUACGCAUGAUAGCAAAUGGGCGUAGGUCGGAUUGGCUAGUUGGUGGGGUAGAGGCCUACCAAGGCGACGAUCCGUAACUGGUCUGAGAGGAUGAUCAGUCACACUGGAACUGAGACACGGCCCAGACUCCUACGGGAGGCAGCAGUGGGGAAUAUUGGACAAUGGGCGAAAUCCUGAUCCAGCCAUGCCGCGUGUGUGAAGAAGGUCUUCGGAUUGUAAAGCACUUUUAGUUGGGAAGCGGUAUCAACAGAAUAAGCACCGGCUAACUUCGUGCCAGCAGCCGCGGUAAUUC